rnacentral:rRNA from 1 species
CCAGGCGGUGCUAUACUGCAGUCGAGCGAAAGAAGGGAGCUUGCUCCCGGAUGUUAGCGGCGGACGGGUGAGUAACACGUGGGUAACCUGCCUGUAAGACUGGGAUAACUCCGGGAAACCGGAGCUAAUACCGGAUAGUUCCUUGAACCGCAUGGUUCAAGGAUGAAAGACGGUUUCGGCUGUCACUUACAGAUGGACCCGCGGCGCAUUAGCUAGUUGGUGGGGUAAUGGCUCACCAAGGCGACGAUGCGUAGCCGACCUGAGAGGGUGAUCGGCCACACUGGGACUGAGACACGGCCCAGACUCCUACGGGAGGCAGCAGUAGGGAAUCUUCCGCAAUGGACGAAAGUCUGACGGAGCAACGCCGCGUGAGUGAUGAAGGUUUUCGGAUCGUAAAGCUCUGUUGUUAGGGAAGAACAAGUGCGAGAGUAACUGCUCGCACCUUGACGGUACCUAACCAGAAAGCCACGGCUAACUACGUGCCAGCAGCCGCGGUAAUACGUAGGUGGCAAGCGUUGUCCGGAAUUAUUGGGCGUAAAGGGCUCGCAGGCGGUUUCUUAAGUCUGAUGUGAAAGCCCCCGGCUCAACCGGGGAGGGUCAUUGGAAACUGGGAAACUUGAGUGCAGAAGAGGAGAGUGGAAUUCCACGUGUAGCGGUGAAAUGCGUAGAGAUGUGGAGGAACACCAGUGGCGAAGGCGACUCUCUGGUCUGUAACUGACGCUGAGGAGCGAAAGCGUGNGGAGCGAACAGGAUUAGAUACCCUGGUAGUCCACGCCGUANACGAUGAGUGCUAAGUGUUAGGGGGUUUCCGCCCCUUAGUGCUGCAGCUAACGCAUUAAGCACUCCGCCU